GCCCUAGUAACGGCGAGUGAAGCGGCAACAGCUCAAAUUUGAAAUCUGGCUCUCGGGCCCGAGUUGUAAUUUGUAGAGGAUGAUUUUGGCGCGGUGCCUUCCGAGUUCCCUGGAACGGGACGCCUUAGAGGGUGAGAGCCCCGUACGGUUGGACACCAAGCCUCUGUAAAUCUCCUUCGACGAGUCGAGUAGUUUGGGAAUGCUGCUCUAAAUGGGAGGUAAAUUUCUUCUAAAGCUAAAUACCGGCCAGAGACCGAUAGCGCACAAGUAGAGUGAUCGAAAGAUGAAAAGCACUUUGAAAAGAGGGUUAAAUAGCACGUGAAAUUGUUGAAAGGGAAGCAUUUACUACCAGACCUCUGCCCUGCGGAUCAUGUGGUGUUCUCACCGCUGCACUUCGCUUGGUUUAGGCCAGCAUCGGUUUUCGUAGGGGGAUAAAAGCUUUAGGAACGUAGCUCCCUCGGGAGUGUUAUAGCCUUUUGCAUAAUACCCUUACGGGGACCGAGGACCGCGCUUCGGCAAGGAUGCUGGCAUAAUGGUAGUCAAUGACCCGUCUUGAAACACGGACCAAGGAGUCGAACAUUUGUGCGAGUGUUUGGGUGUUAAACCCUCACGCGUAAUGAAAGUGAACGUAGGUGAGAGCCCUUACGGGUGCAUCAUCGACCGAUCUUGAUGUCUUCGGAUGGAUUUGAGUAAGAGCAUAACUGUUCGGACCCGAAAGAUGGUGAACUAUGCGUGGAUAGGGUGAAGCCAGAGGAAACUCUGGUGGAGGCUCGCAGCGGUUCUGACGUGCAAAUCGAUCGUCAAAUCUGCGCAUGGGGGCGAAAGACUUAUCGA
rnacentral:rRNA from 1 species